GAGAUUUUGCAUACAUAUAUCCCUGCAAAAUUCUCUAUUUAAUGUACCUUUCUAAUGUGCAAUUUCUUAUAAAACCGCCUAAUCUUAAGCUGAGCAAUCAUCCAAAUUAUGAAAGGAGGUUGACUUUGUAUAAGAGGAUACAUAUGUAAGUCAAUUGACUUCUUGAACGACAUGUACGAAAUGGGUUAUCAAUCAACAUUGCUGUAUGUUUCUGUAGAAUCUCGGCUCAAUCAAUCUACCCUUUCUUGUGACCCUGAAUCCUCCUCGCGUUCCGGAUCACACCUUACUUAAAUGGCGCACUGGACAUUCCUGUUCCAUCAGUUGCGGCCUCAAAAGCUUCUCUUGAGCUGAAUCAAAUUCAGGGCAAAGGAGGAAUAUGGUUUUGCGGAGCAUAUCAAGCAGGUUUCUGAACCACGUGAAGCUUAUUUGGUGACCUGGGAGGCUGGUUUAGAAGGUGUUCUAUCCUAAGCGGGAUUGCGAUCGAGCCCUGAAUUGUCCUCGACUGACUUGUGAGAGCUCUUGGAGGUUACAGUUGAGCAGGAGUGGAGUCUUGUUGAGCUGAUUUUUGGGACUUCUUGUGACUUGUUGGAGCUUAGUACUAGAGCCAUCUACAGGAGAGGCUAGGGAUCGUGGCAAGGG